GCCUGAAGAAGAGCUUGCGUCUGAUUAGCUAGUUGGUGGGGUAAGAGCCUACCAAGGCGACGAUCAGUAGCUGGUCUGAGAGGAUGAGCAGCCACACUGGGACUGAGACACGGCCCAGACUCCUACGGGAGGCAGCAGUGGGGAAUUUUCCGCAAUGGGCGAAAGCCUGACGGAGCAACGCCGCGUGAGGGAGGAAGGUCUUUGGAUGUAAACCUCUUUUCUCAAGGAAGAAGUUCUGACGGUACUUGAGGAAUCAGCCUCGGCUAACUCCGUGCCAGCAGCCGCGGUAAUACGGGGGAGGCAAGCGUUAUCCGGAAUUAUUGGGCGUAAAGCGUCCGCAGGUGGUCAGCCAAGUCUGCCGUCAAAUCAGGUUGCUUAACGACCUAAAGGCGGUGGAAACUGGCAGACUAGAGAGCAGUAGGGGUAGCAGGAAUUCCCAGUGUAGCGGUGAAAUGCGUAGAGAUUGGGAAGAACAUCGGUGGCGAAAGCGUGCUACUGGGCUGUAUCUGACACUCAGGGACGAAAGCUAGGGGAGCGAAAGGGAUUAGAUACCCCUGUAGUCCUAGCCGUAAACGAUGGAUACUAGGCGUGGCUUGUAUCGACCCGAGCCGUGCCGAAGCUAACGCGUUAAGUAUCCCGCCUGGGGAGUACGCACGCAAGUGUGAAACUCA
rnacentral:rRNA from 1 species